rnacentral:pre_miRNA from 2 species
GCCGGUUUUGGGCAAAAUUAUCGUGUCACUCAUUAUUCAACGCAUUUUUACUUCGGGGAAGGCAAAAUGCGUAGAAAAGUGGGUGACAGGAUAAUGUUGGAUCGAAGCGGGCA